AUUGUCCCCUCUGUGUCCCCUCCGGGGUCAUUGUCACCUCUGUGUCCCCUCGGUGUCCCCUCGGUGUCAUUGUCCCCCCCCUGUGUCCCCUUGGUGUCAUUCAUUGUCCCCUCUGUGUCAUCAUUGUCCCCUCUGUGUCCCCCCUCUGUCCCCUCGGUGUCACUCAUUGUCCCCUCUGUGUCCCCUCUGUGUCAUUGUCCCCCCUUCUCUGUCCCCUCUGUGUCCCCUCUGUGUCACUCACUGUCCCCUCUCUGUCCCCUCGGGGUCACUGUCACCUGUGUCCCCUCUCUGUCCCUUUGGUGUCACUCAUUGUCCCCUCUCUGUCCUCUCUGUGCCAUCAUUGUCCCCUCUGUGUCCCCUCUGUGUCACCUUGGUGUCACUCAUUGUCCCCUCUGUGUCCCCUCUGUGUCACUGUCCC
rnacentral:lncRNA from 1 species